AGUGAACGCUGGCGGCAGGCCUAACACAUGCAAGUCGAACGGCAGCACAGAGCGGCCUUGCUCUUACGGGAGGCGAGUCGGGGAGGGGUGUGGUGUCCAUGGAACUGUCCUAUGUCGGGGGGGAAAACCUGGAAACGCUAACUCUAAUACCACAACCUCCCUACAGGAAAAAGUAGGGGAUUUUGGGCCCUUGCCCGCGUGAAUGCGCCGAUGUCGGAUUAGCUAGUUGGUGGGGUAAAGGCCCACCAAGGCGACGAUCCGUAGCUGGUCUGAGAGGAUGAUCAGCCACACUGGAACUGAGACACGGUCCAGACUCCUACGGGAGGCAGCAGUGGGGAAUAUUGGACAAUGGGCGCAAGCCUGAUCCAGCCAUGCCGCGUGUAUGAAGAAGGCCUUCGGGUUGUAAAGCACUUUUGGUGGGAAGGAAGAGAAGAAGGUUAAUACCCCGCCGUACUGACGGUACCCGAAGAAGAAGCACCGGCUAACUUCGUG
rnacentral:rRNA from 1 species